rnacentral:rRNA from 1 species
GACGAACGCUGGCGGCGUGCUUAACACACGCAAGUCGAACGGAAAGGCCCUGCUUUUGUGGGGUGCUCGAGUGGCGAACGGGUGAGUAACACGUGAGUAACCUGCCCUUGACUUUGGGAUAACUUCAGGAAACUGGGGCUAAUACCGGAUAGGUGCUCCUGCUGCAUGGUGGGGGUUGGAAAGUUUCGGCGGUUGGGGAUGGACUCGCGGCUUAUCAGCUUGUUGGUGGGGUAGUGGCUUACCAAGGCUUUGACGGGUAGCCGGCCUGAGAAGGUGACCGGCCACAUUGGGACUGAGCUACGGCCCAGACUCCUACGGGAGGCAGCAGUGGGGAAUAUUGCACUAUGGGCGGAAGCCUGAUGCAGCAACGCCGCGUGCGGGAUGACGGCCUUCGGGUUGUAAACCGCUUUCGCCUGUGACGAAGCGUGAGUGACGGUAAUGGGUAAAGAAGCACCGGCUAACUACGUG